UUUAUGUACAGCUGAAAAAAUGGAUUAACUAUGCAUAAUUAAACUCGAAGUCACAGAAUUAUUUGGGUUGGAAGGGUCCUUAAAGGUCAGCUAGUUACUACCCCACCCUGCCAUGGGCAGGGACAACUUGGACAAAGGUCAGUCAAGCCCUGACCUUCACCCAAUUCAUACUAUGAAACAGGAUGACAGCACCAGUGAAUGCUGGAAAAUUAAAUUCAAUCAUUUUAAAUGCUGGAUGUUGCUUGUAUAGAGAUGAUGUUAAGAAUGCUGUAGUGGAUUCAGGUGGGCUUUUCUUAUUGGAUCUGGAAAAAUAGUGGUGUAUACAAAAGGUAGGAAGAUAAAAGCCCUGCCCUUAGAGCAAGAAAAGGCUUGUACUCAUUUAAAGAGAUGGCUUUCAGCUUGAAAAUUGAUAUCAAUUAUCCAUUGAUAAAGAGGGUCUGGUGGUGUCAUUUGUCCAGUGUGUUGUACCUGCCUGAAAUCCUGAUGCAUCCAAAGUCUUUGAAGGGGAACUCAUAAACUUUUAAAAAGUGGUUUGUUAUAAGGAAUGUGAGGAGCCCUAAAAAAAAAAAAAAUUACCUUUCACAUAUUGUGCAGGAGAACACCAGGGAUGGAAAAGAGUUAUUCAAGUUAAGGCAUAGCCACAGCAUGGAAACAACUGGGUACGAACUGCUCAGGAAUAAAAUUAAAUUGGAAACUGGAAGGAGCUCUGUUCUGGAUGUGUUUUUAUAGGAGAAGUGAGAAAGAGUUUAUGAAAGAGACAGCAGAUUCCAAAGAAAUAAUAAAUAUUCCUCAGGGACUCUCUCAAAAGGCAGAUGUAACAAAAACAAGCAGGAAGAUUAAAAUCUCCCCAGGAGGUUUGUAGAGGAGAGAGCUCAGACUGAUCUCGUGGCAUGAAAGCAUUAUGACACAAAGCUGAGGCUCCUGAUUGUGGCUGUGCCAUUUGUGACCUGCCCACAGUCCUUCUCUCUGCCUGGUGUUGCCCCAGCAAGAGGCAGGAGAAGAUGGGAUGCUGCUCCCCUGGAAAACAGCCUCCCAAAGGCAUCCCAGAACUGCAGCUGAGAUGGGAGCAGGAUGCAGAAUUCCCAUGGCUUUUCCUAGGUCAGUGCCUCAGGGCUCAGACCACCUGCACAGCACCUGCAGGCAAAUUAUUCAAGAGCUGCACUGGAGGAUUUACCCUGUUCCCAAGAUGGACAAAAGUCUUUAGAAUACCACCAGCAAAUGAAGUAUCUCAGGUAACACCAAGGUGCUGAUAUUUUGAAUUGAUUCCUAUUGUCCUGCAGGACAAGCCCCAGUUUUGGUCUAUUCCCAUCUGUGACACCAUUUAUACUCA